rnacentral:lncRNA from 1 species
UGGACCAUGUCCAGAGAAGGCCAAAGAAGAAGAGCUUUGCAGUCAGUGAUUGGCGGCUCCUGUAGUGUGUGUUGGCUCCUGGUUUUACCUUAGCUAUGGGCCAUUGGUUUUCUCAGAGUGGAAGACACAGUUCCGUGAAUCAGAAGACAACAAAUGCUAAGAAAGGACCAGUUAAAAAGAUUGCAUCAUGCUCAGUUCAGCGUUUUAAAAUCAAGGUUUCAUCAUAAUCCCAGAUGACAAGCAUAGGAAAGUUUCAGGGAAAUACUGCGGAUAACUUCACCAUGUACUACAUUGUUCUUGGACAACCCCAACCCCCAACCCCCGAUGGUAACCUUGAGGAUUUAAGACCAAU